rnacentral:rRNA from 1 species
GAUGAACGCUGGCGGCGUGCUUAACACAUGCAAGUCGAACGAAGCAUUUGCGACAGAUUUUUUCGGAAGGAAGUUGCUUAUGACUGAGUGGCGGACGGGUGAGUAACGCGUGGGUAACCUGCCUUGUACUGGGGGAUAGCAGCUGGAAACGGCUGGUAAUACCGCAUAGGCGCACAAUGUUGCAUGACAUGGUGUGAAAAGCUCCGGUGGUAUAAGAUGGACCCGCGUCUGAUUAGCUAGUUGGUGAGAUAACAGCCCACCAAGGCGACGAUCAGUAGCCGACCUGAGAGGGUGACCGGCCACAUUGGGACUGAGACACGGCCCAGACUCCUACGGGAGGCAGCAGUGGGGAAUAUUGCACAAUGGAGGAAACUCUGAUGCAGCGACGCCGCGUGAGUGAAGAAGUAAUUCGUUAUGUAAAGCUCUAUCAGCAGGGAAGAUAGUGACGGUACCUGACUAAGAAGCUCCGGCUAAAUACGUG